rnacentral:tRNA from 1 species
GCCCCCAUAGCUCAGCUGGUAGAGCGACGGACUGUUAAUCCGUAGGUCGCAGGUUCGAAUCCUGCUGGGGGCGCCA